UUUUUUUUUUUUUUUAACAUUUUAUUUUAGGUUUUAGUCAAAUGGUAAUGAGUAAAAUGUAUAUAUUUUAAAAUCAGAAUUAUAUUGUAACAACUGUGUAGUCGAAAAAUUCGUUCGAAACCAAAGGAAACCGAACAAAUAAGACGAAGAAUUCGGUUUGAAAAGAGGAUAUCGCCGAAAAAUUAACGGAAUAUAAUCUCCGAAUUAUUGGUUUAAUCUUUUUUGGUGAACAAAAAAUAUUCAGAAAGUAAUACUGUUGAAAACGCUCUAAACAAUACCCGGUCCGCACAUUUCUUAGUUUACUUACUGUGUAGGUUUUCGCGAUCAAUACUACUCAGGUUUUAUUUAAACUAUUUAAGAUAAUAUUAUUAUUAUUGUGAAAUGUAAUAUGGUGAGAGUAAAUUGCGAAACCGUCAUCGUGUGUAAUUCGCUUGAGAACUUUCGACGAACGGAACGCGCAUAGAGUUAUUGACGUUUUUUCUCGUGCGCGCGUGUAAUUUUUGGAGAAUCCGAUACAUCGGCACUC